rnacentral:rRNA from 1 species
GCUUAACACAUGCGAGUCGAGGGGCAGCAUGGUCUUAUCUUGCUAAGGCCGAUGGCGACCGGCGCACGGGUGAGUAACGCGUAUCCAACCUGCCUUACACUCUUGGACAGCCUUCUGAAAGGAAGAUUAAUACAAGAUGUUAUCAUGAGUAAGCAUUUUCGCAUGAUUAAAGGUUUACCGGUGUAGGAUGGGGAUGCGUUCCAUUAGAUAGUAGGCGGGGUAACGCCCCACCUAGUCUUCGAUGGAUAGGGGUUCUGAGAGGAAGGUCCCCCACAUUGGAAUUGAGACACGGUCCAAACUCCUACGGGAGGCAGCAGUGAGGAAUAUUGGUCAAUGGACGAGAGUCUGAACCAGCCAAGUAGUGUGAAGGAUGAAGGUUCUAUGGAUUGUAAACUUCUUUUAUACGGGAAUAAACGAAUCCACGCGUGGAUUUUUGCAUGUACCGUAUGAAUAAGGAUCGGCUAACUCCGUGCCAGCAGCCGCGGUAAUACGGAGGAUCCGAGCGUUAUCCGGAUUUAUUGGGUUUAAAGGGAGCGUAGAUGGGUUGUUAAGUCAGUUGUGAAAGUUUGCGGCUCAACCGUAAAAUUGCAAUUGAUACUGGCAGUCUUGAGUACAGUUGAGGUAGGCGGAAUUCGUGGUGUAGCGGUGAAAUGCUUAGAUAUCACGAAGAACUCCGAUUGCGAAGGCAGCUUACUAACCUGUAACUGACAUUGAUGCUCGAAAGUGUGGGUAUCAAACAGGAUUAGAUACCCUGGUAGUCCACACGGUAAACGGAGAAUACUCGCCGUAGGCGAUAUACAUUCUGCGGCCAAGCGAAAGCAUUAAGUAUUCCACCUGGGGGAGUACGCCGGCAACGGGAAAAUUCAAAGGAAAUGGACGGGGGCCCGCACAAGCGGAGGAACAUGUGGUUUUAUUCGAUGAUACGCGAGGAACCUUACCCGGGCUUAAAUUGCAACCGAAUAUGGGGGAAACGCUAUAGCUAGCAAUAGCGGUUGUGAAGGUGCUGCAUGGUUGUCGUCAGCUCGUGCCGUGAGGUGUCGGCUUAAGUGCCAUAACGAGCGCAACCCUUGCCGAUAGUUACUAACAGGUUAUGCUGAGGACUCUGUCGGGACUGCCAUCGUAAGAUGUGAGGAAGGUGGGGAUGACGUCAAAUCAGCACGGCCCUUACGUCCGGGGCUACACACGUGUUACAAUGGGGGGUACAGAGGGCUGCUACCACGCAAGUGGAUGCCAAUCCCAAAAACCUCUCUCAGUUCGGAUUGAAGUCUGCAACCCGACUUCAUGAAGCUGGAUUCGCUAGUAAUCGCGCAUCAGCCACGGCGCGGUGAAUACGUUCCCGGGCCUUGUACA